rnacentral:lncRNA from 1 species
UUUUCUUCCAAAACCUUUAGUAGUGCUCCUCUAUUUCAUACUUUACUGUAAUGGAACCUCUGGGGAGAGUCACUUUGCUUUAGAUUAAUAGACUUCGCUGAUAGAUUGAUGGAGAUAUGGAGUACUUCUUUGUUAGAUGAAGACAUUUGUUUCUUACUUCCAUGUAGAGAAUGAAUAUUGUCUUUUUAUAGUGUAGGAAAGUAAUUAGAUAACAACUUAAAAAAAAAAGAGGAUUGAGGAUGUAAAAACUAUCUAGAAAUUAUUAAGUCUGAAAAACAAUCAUCCCAAACAGUAACAGCUUGCAUAGACGGUGCUUUAAAGUUUACAGUGGUUUCUAUAUAUUAUCUUAUUCAUUCACUCUCACUCAUUUGUUUAAUAUUUACAGAGCACCAACUCUAUAGGCAACACUGGAAUGCCUUUUAAUCCUCCAAACAAUUCUAUGAAUUGAGUGCUAUCCACAUUUGAGAGAUACAAUGUAUGUUUCUAUGUGAAUUCUAUGCAUUGUUUUGUGAUGGGGUUGAUCUUAUUGAUAUUUCUGUCUAUUUAGUCUUUCUCAGGGCUUCAGAAUUAUGGUGGCCACGAGGCCGAGAGCUUUAAACACUGCCAUACCUUGCAUGGAUAGCAGCACACUCUCCAAGUACCCACUACAUACAAGGUCCACCGAGAACCACUCACCCUCAGGAUCUCACCUCAGAUUGCUAAAAUCGUCAAACUGAUAAAGAACCGUUAA